UUGAGUAGAGUUGAUUUAUAGUGUUGUGUCCGUUUCCAACGUACAGCAAAGUGACCCAGUCAUACACAUAUACACCUUCUUUUUCUCACACUAUCUUCCAUCAUAUUCUAUCCCAAGAGACUGGAUAUAGUUCCCUGUGCUACACAGCAGGAUUUCACUGCUUAUCCAUUCUAAAUGCAUCAAGUUUUUAAGACUUCUGGCAUUAGAUUUUCCGGCUCUAUCUGAUGCUUUUUUCCCCUUAAUUCUCUACAGCAAUUUGGCCUGGUUUCACUAUUUUGUGGUUUUCUCACUUGACUCAAGGUAUUGAUACACCUCCAAGGCCAGAGGAGACACUCUAUUAUUCUGCGUUUUAUGUGUACUAAUAUCGGGUUUUUUCCUUACAACAUUACUUGUUUUAAGAAUAGUUCUCUUGGAUUUCUUUUUGUCAAAGUUACUUCCCCAGGGGCCCUUAGCAUCCUGAUCUUCCUAAGAUGCUCAAAGUCCAUUUUAUUUGAUGACAUCAGUUCUCUCCCAGGACUCCGAAUGCCAUCAUUCUGUGGUUCCAUCCACCAAUUGUCAUGCACAAGUUUCAGGAAACACUCCCAGCCAAGACCACAUAAAAGAAAUCUAGCUUACUUGAGUCUUCUACUUUUUAAAAGAGGUUCUUAGAAAUUGACCCCCUAAUAUACUGUGGAAUCUUACUUGACAGUCUGUGGCCGGCUGAAUUGUUUUUUUCAGCAGAUGGUUUAAGACUCUCAUGACUACGUAUUUUUAAGUAAACCAAGCAAAAAAAUGAUUCAGUUUGAUUCUACCCUCACAGUCAGUUUUGCACUACUGAUCUCGUUAAGAUACCUAGUAUGACUUUUUUAUAAAAGCAGAUUAACAAGCAUAAGGAUUAGUCUAAAAUAUCUGCAAAAUUUCAUUGACAGCUUUUCAAUUCUUACCCCAGGGAAUUAGGAUAAAAUUAUGAAGUAGCACACCUCUCAGAGUUCACGUGAAAAGAAAGCAUAUCAUCAAAAGAAAUUUGAUCUUCACCAGAGGAUGCUAACAUGUAGAAACCAAACUUUUCUCCUCUGUCCAAGAGUCAACUGAACAGUUACUGAAAGAAAAACACCAUACAGUUGCAAAAAAUUUACCAAACUCGGUCAGAUAUAAAUGUUAAGUUUCCUCUUUCACUCCCAGUCUAUUUCAACUGUACUUAUUGGCCAAUACCCAUUAUCAGAAAAACAAAAACAAAACCAACCAACCAACCAAUCAAACAAAAAAUGCUAUUGUGCAGAUCACAUGCUCAAUUGUUUAGAUUUGGGGUUCUGAUAGGAGACAUUUUUAUGAACACAUACACAAACUAAGAAUCAACAAAAAUGGGAGUUCCCAUUGUGGCGCAGUGGUUAACGAAUCUGAUUAGGAACCAUGAGGUUUCGGGUUCGAUCCCUGGCCUCGCUCAGUGGGCUAAGGAUCUACCGUUGCCGUGAGCUAUGGUGUAGGUCGCAGACACGGCUCGGAUCCCACGUUGCUGUGGCUGUGGUGUAGACCGGUGGCUACAGCUCCAGUUGGACCCCUGGCCUGGAAACCUCCAUAUGCCGUGGGAGUGGCCCUAGAAAAGGCAAAAAGACCAAAAAAAAAAAAAAAAAAAGAAUCAACAAAAAUGGCCUUGGAAAAAUACACAAGGACGGGAAUGAGACUAAGCUACCCAAAUUAGUCUAAACUAUCUGCAAAAUUUCACUGAAUGGAGGAGAAAGCAGAAUAGCCAUUCCUUACUUUCUAAAGAUUUUAUGGCAUCUCUUUCCUCCAAACUAAUCCUUUUUUAAAAUUCUCUCAAAAAUUUUUAUGAGCUGUUUUUUACAUUAUAAAAGUACCACACACUCGUUGUUAAAAAUCCCAACAAGAAAUACAAAGUUAGUCUAUCUCUUCACCAAACUCCCAGUUCCAAACUCUUCAGAGUUUGGAAUCUGUCCUGAACAUUAAACUGUCAGCAGCAAAUAGAAAUGACUCCAAUAGGAUGAAGUGACAUUUACCAGUAAGAUGGAGAGACCGAUUUAAUUGGUGGGUAUGCGAUACAGCACAUUAGCCUCUUACAGGAACUAAACAUUUUCUAAAAUUUAAGUCAAUUUUGAAAGCACCCUGAUUGAAUUAUUCCACUUCCUUCCUGCCUUUCAGUUAUAAAAUUCUCUCUUGGACCUUUUGGAAGGAAUAGUGGAAAUAAUUUAGUCUAAUCCCUUCAUUUUACAGAUAAGAAAACUGACACCUUAAAAGGUUAGGUGACUUGCCCAGGGCCAUGUGUCUACCUAAUCCGCAGCAGACUGUGGCAAGAGCGCUGGUCUCUGCCCGCCAGCCCAGAGCCACACAGCUUGCCAGACUUACAUGGGUGGUGUGAUCUACGGGAUAGGUUAUACUACGAUUUUUUCAAAUCGCAUUUUUAUUAAAGUACUUAGGAAGACUCUAACACACACGGCUCAAAAACAUCACUCUGAGAUGCAGUUGACAACAUCUCUACCCAUGCGUAAGCUUCUGAGAAAAAGGAGCACUUUAUGCCAAACAUCUUCCACCUUCUUCUACAAGCCAUAUGACAGGAGGGACCCCCAACUUUUCAACAUCAUGGCUCCGUUCACGCCCAGAGAGUCUCCCUAGAAUCUCAUCUUCCACAGGCCAGUGACGUGGGCUCCAUUCCAGAGACGCAUGCAGAGAGGGAGAGACUGGGGCUUCCGAUUAAACGGCAGGGCUUCCAGGCAACUUGAGGCCAAUUUAAAUCAAAACAUCUCAGUUUGGUUUAGGCUGAUCACCCACGAAAGGUCAGCCUCCAUCCAGCUCGCUCCCCCUCCCUUCUGCAACUUCUUAGCAUUACAACCGCGUUUAAAGCACCUUCGGGGUCACAUCCUCUUCCUCAAGUCAUGCCCUUUACUGGGCUGCCUGCAGCUCCUUUGCUUGCCUCCCCCAGGCUCCUCCCCAGGCUGCACCUCUCCUCCCUCUGGCUGAUGCGCUAAGGGUUGGCAUCAGGAAUGGGGAGACGACCUCUGGGGGCGGAAGAGAGAGGCCUGACUGAAGUGCAGGGCUCCGGGGGGGAAAUGAUGGAAAAUAUAUCUAUACGGACACAUGGAGCAGAUCCCGCCCGGAGAGCUCCGCACGGCAGACUGAGCAAUUCUGUCUUGAUUCCAUGGGCGUUGAGGAGUCUUUGAAGACAUGCGAGGAGUGGAGUGACAGGAUGAAACCAGCUUCUUUAGAAAGUUAGCGAUAGGUGUGGGUAGAAGGUAGGAAUCCGGGAGGCACUGGGGAGACUACAUAAGAAAGCUGUGAUAGGAGUUCCCAUUGUGGCUCAGUGGAUUAAGAAACCUGACUUAAUCCAUGAGGAUGCGGGUUCGAUCCCUGGCCUCAAUCAGUGGGUUAAGGAUCCUGUGCUGCUGUAGCAGUGGCGUAGGCCGGCAGCUGCAGCUCUGAUUAGACCCCUAGCCUGGGAACUUCCAUAGGCCGCAGGUGCGGCCCUAAAAAAAAAAAAAAAAAAAGACAGCUGAGAGUGGCCACAGUAUAGACGUCAGGACCUGUGACUAAAGUGAUGGCAGCGAAAAGUGAUAUGUAAGUGACAUUUCAAAGGGAGGAGCCUUCAAAGAAGAUGGAAGGACAGGAUCAAAGCUGAAUAAUGCCCCCCUUGCAAUCGUGAGUGACAAAAAGACGGGACUUAUGAAAGAGAGGCGAGGCGGUUUCACAGCCAUAAGGGGGUCUGUCUGACAUGCUGACGGCAAGAGAGGCAAGCGGACAUGCCCUGUGGCCCAGCCAGCGGAGCCUGGCUGAGAUGCGCAAGGUGGAGAGGGGAAGGAAGAUCUGAAACCACAAGCGAGGAGGGAGGCAUCACCCCGGGAGAGAAUGUGGGAGACAGGGAGAGAAUCAUCAGAGAGGGCGGAGCAACCCAGCGGAGGAGGGGGUACGUUUCUGGAAGGAAAGAGCAUUAACGCGCUCAAAUACAGGCGAGGACAAAAAGAACAAACACUAGUAAAUGAGCCCAAGUAGCUAUAUGAAAAACCCCAAGACCCUAAGAAACUGUCUCUACUUUCCUCAUUUGAACUACCCACCCCCCUCGCACAGACAAACGUUUCCAAUCUUUGGUUCAAUAACAUUCGAGCCCAGAGUUUGGCUCUUGGUACUAAGUUUACUGAACCAUUCGACCCACGGGGCAGGAUAUAACCAACAAGAGAGCAAGUGCCAUGAAUCAGGCACAUAUGGUUGAAGAUACAGAACUUGACUUUUUCUCCGAACAUCUGGCACAUCAGCACAACAGUCCUGAUGUAACUUUUCUCUGGUUCAGACCCCAGGGGCUAAGUUGGCAGCACCUCCAGUCCUCUGAAAUUCGUGCCUUACCAGCCUAACGAAGCAGCAAGGGGCGGGGGGCGGGGGGAGGCUUUCUGGCCCUGGCAGGGACGUGGCUUAAGGAGAGUAGAUGAGAGUGACAUGAGGAGCGCCGCCAGGCACACAGGCUUGUACCCAAAACUCUGCUUAGGCGGUAGGGUGUAUUCGGGCCUCUGACAAAACCACCUCCGCCUCGCCCAGAGGUUGUGGAUUACAGGAAACUAGGGGCCUACUGUUUAGGACACUGAGGGUCUUUCUUUUCCCUGCAAGAAGAGCAUUUGCCAAGAGACUGACAAAUGGAGUGCAGCUGGCAUAUCAGUUUCUGGAGACCAUGAGAUAGCUAGCCAAAGGCCACCAGGUUGCUUUCUCAAGUCUACUGUUCUCCCUACAGGGCCUGCCCGGCCUCGGCCCCGGUCCUCCACCUCUACUCCCCAACACGGACACGCCAUCUCGAGCUCCAUCAACUGAGUCCCAACAACUCCAUCUCUGUCCCUGAGUAGGGGGCCUAACUGUGGGCCAUCAAAGGCCAAAGUGUUUCACAAACCAGUGCGCCAUGAUAUUCAGCCACCGAGAGUCUGAGAAGUAAUAAAAACGGGAAGACUGACAGUAAUGCUUUUCAUUCAUUGAGUGCUUGCUCCAAUAUCAGACACUGUUAUAUUAAAGCAACAAGAAAUAAGAGCAUAAUUCUGUCUAAAAACCAUGAUUCCAGGAUAUAUACCAUAAUGAGAAAAUACCGCUGGGAAGUUAUCAAAAGGAAUGUUCUUCCAUGAUUGGUGGUAGCAAAGAGGACUGAUAGGAAAUGUGAAGGGGCUGAUCAUUUAAGACAGGCCUGGGUUACUAGUCAGGCUGUGUUACUUUACCUCUCUGGGCCCUGGUUUCCUUAUCUUAUUAAGUGGGGAUAAUAAUUGUCCCUAUGAUGUAGGCUGGUUGGGAAGAGAAAUGAAAUAAGCUCUGUACAUUCAUUGGCACACUGCCCCGUACAUAAGCAUUACUCAAUAAAUGUCAGCUGCUAUUAUUAGAAGGCUAUUAUAUUAUUGCUCAUUAUUACAAAGAAGUAGGUAUAAGUUGAAUCUUAUCUGUAAAAGCCAGAUAACACUUUUGCCUACAAGAUAGGUUUCAGAGGAUCCCAACCUGGGGCAAUAAAAUGGUUCCACAUUGUAUACAUGCUACGCAUCAGUCUAUCUGCACACUCGCCCAGGCCCAGAAUUAGACAUUGGCACUUAUUCCUUCAGUGGAAGCCAUGACAGUAACAAAAAAUAACAUUGUCAUUCCUGUAACCCUCCUUGGGAGACUGAGCUUCGAGAAAGCAAUCAUCAUGGGAGCCCUCCCAUGGCUCCGCUUGGACCUCCCCCUCCUUUUAGCGCUGCUGAUGACUUCCCAUGAUAGAAGAUGAGGGCUUUGCCAGGGAACCUCAAGAAAGCCUCGGAUAAGAGCAGCGAUACAAACCCCUCUUUGUUUCUUAGGUUUUCCACUAUGCCAAGCUAAAGAAUUUAUCCUUUAUCCUACUUUUCUUGAUGAGAAUACAGUUCCUGGGAAUUCUUGGGCCAAGUAGCUACGUAAAUCUAAUAAGGGAUAUGCUACAUAUUUCUUUUUUUUUUUAAUAUUUCUAAUAACACUAAAAGCCUGGAACACUUUGUGCCACUGAUGAGCAUAUACUACAAACAGAAUUCUGAAUGACUAUAGGUACAUUAGGUGUUCUCAUAUAUAUAUAUAUAUUAUAUAACUAUGUAUAUAUAUAACUAUAUAUUUAUAUAAUAUAUAGCACUGAGCCCAGGAAAAAAACCUUCUAACCCAACCAGUUGUAUCACCAACUGCAUCCAAAAGUCUAAGCAACCAAACUGGCUUUCAACACAAACAAGAAUGGGAUGCUUUCAUAUUUUUGCCCUAGGGCCAAGGGUUAUCAACCCAUCAACUCUGAACUGUACGAUAACCUUUCAGGCACAAAUGACUCCAUUAUGGCGACAUUCAUUUUGAACAGAACGCUGAGAGAGAGGAUCCACCUUCAGAAACAAAUUCUAGGAUAUGAACAUCAUAAACAUCUUAAGGAAAAACGCAGACCAGCAUUGCCGUCUAAUAGAAAUACAGUGCAAGCCACAGACAUCAUUGUGCAUGCUCCAGUAGCCACGGUAAAAAAAAUAGAAGCAAGUGAGAUUCACAAUAUAUUUAAUUUAAAAAAAUAUACCAACCAUGUUCUUUAAACUUGUACACAAUAUGAAAGUCGUUAAUGAGAUAUUUCAUAUAGUUUUGGUAU
ensembl:lncRNA